rnacentral:rRNA from 1 species
UACGGAGGAUGCGAGCGUUAUCCGGAUUUAUUGGGUUUAAAGGGUGCGUAGGCGGGCUUUUAAGUCAGCGGUAAAAAUUCGGGGCUCAACCCCGUCCGGCCGUUGAAACUGGGGGCCUUGAGUGGGCGAGAAGAAGGCGGAAUGCGUGGUGAAGCGGUGAAAUGCAUAGAUAUCACGCAGAACCCCGAUUGCGAAGGCAGCCUUCCGGCGCCCUACUGACGCUGAGGCACGAAAGUGCGGGGAUCGAACAGG